rnacentral:rRNA from 1 species
CAGCCGCCGCGGUAAUACGGAGGGAGCUAGCGUUAUUCGGAAUUACUGGGCGUAAAGCGCACGUAGGCGGCUUUGUAAGUUAGAGGUGAAAGCCUGGAGCUCAACUCCAGAAUUGCCUUUAAGACUGCAUCGCUUGAAUCCAGGAGAGGUGAGUGGAAUUCCGAGUGUAGAGGUGAAAUUCGUAGAUAUUCGGAAGAACACCAGUGGCGAAGGCGGCUCACUGGACUGGUAUUGACGCUGAGGUGCGAAAGCGUGGGGAGCAAACAGGAUUAGAUACCCCUGUAGUCCCUGUCUCUUAUAC